GAUGAACGCUAGCUACAGGCUUAACACAUGCAAGUCGAGGGGAAACGGCAUUGAGUGCUUGCACUCUUUGGACGUCGACCGGCGCACGGGUGAGUAACGCGUAUCCAACCUUCCCAUUACUGUGGGAUAACCUGCCGAAAGGCAGACUAAUACCGCAUAGUCUUCGAUGACGGCAUCAGAUCUGAAGUAAAGAUUUAUCGGUAAUGGAUGGGGAUGCGUCUGAUUAGCUUGUUGGCGGGGUAACGGCCCACCAAGGCGACGAUCAGUAGGGGUUCUGAGAGGAAGCUCCCCCACAUUGGAGCUGAGACACGGACCAAAAUGCUACGGGAGGCAGCAGUAAGGAAUAUUGGGCAAUGGACGGAAGUCUGAACCAGCCAAGUAGCGUGCAGGAUGACGGCCCUAUGGGUUGUAAACUGCUUUUGUAUGGGGAUAAAGUUAGGGACGUGUCCCUAUUUGCAGGUACCAUACGAAUAAGGACCGGCUAAUUCCGUG
rnacentral:rRNA from 1 species